UACGUAGGGUGCAAGUGUUAAUCGGAAUUACUGGGCGUAAAGCGUGCGCAGGCGGUUGUGCAAGACCGAUGUGAAAUCCCCGGGCUUAACCUGGGAAUGGCAUUGGUGACUGCACGGCUAGAGUGUGUCAGAGGGGGGUAGAAUUCCACGUGUAGCAGUGAAAUGCGUAGAGAUGUGGAGGAAUACCGAUGGCGAAGGCAGCCCCCUGGGAUAACACUGACGCUCAUGCACGAAAGCGUGGGGAGCGAACAGG
rnacentral:rRNA from 1 species